rnacentral:rRNA from 1 species
CAGCAGCCACGGGAAUACGGAGGGAGCUAGCGUUGUUCGGAAUUACUGGGCGUAAGGCGCGCGUAGGCGGUUACUCAAGUCAGAGGUGAAAGCCCGGGGCUCAACCCCGGAACUGCCUUUGAAACUAGGUAACUAGAAUCUUGGAGAGGUCAGUGGAAUUCCGAGUGUAGAGGUGAAAUUCGUAGAUAUUCGGAAGAACACCAGUGGCGAAGGCGACUGACUGGACAAGUAUUGACGCUGAGGUGUGAAAGCGUGGGGAGCAAACAGGAUUAGAUACCCCAGUAGUCCCUGUCUCUUAUAC